rnacentral:rRNA from 2 species
AGCUCAAAUUUGAAAUCCAGUGCCUCCGGCGCUCGAGUUGUAAUUUGAAGAUAGUUUUCUGGCACUGGCCCUUGUCUAUGUUCCUUGGAACAGGACGUCAUAGAGGGUGAGAAUCCCGUCUGAUGGGGUGUCCAGUUGCCGUGUAGAUUUCUAUCGAAGAGUCGAGUUGUUUGGGAAUGCAGCUCUAAGUGGGUGGUAAAUUCCAUCUAAAGCUAAAUACUGGCGAGAGACCGAUAGCGAACAAGUACAGUGAUGGAAAGAUGAAAAGAACUUUGAAAAGAGAGUGAAAAAGUACGUGAAAUUGUUGAAAGGGAAGGGUAUUGGAUCAGACUUGGUGUUUUGCGAUUAUCAGCUCCUUGUGGGCUGUGCACUCGCAUCUCACUGGGCCAGCAUCGGUUUUGGCGGCAGGAUAAUGGUUAGGGGAACGUGGCUCUCUCGAGAGUGUUAUAGCCCCCAGCUGAUACUGCCUGCCGGGACCGAGGACUGCGGCUUUUGCCUAGGAUGCUGGCGUAAUGAUCCAACACCGC